rnacentral:rRNA from 1 species
UACGUAGGGGGCAAGCGUUUGUCCGGAUUUAUUGGGCGUAAAGAGCGUGUAGGCGGUUUGGUAGGUCCGCUGUGAAAACUCGAGGCUCAACCUCGAGACGCCGGUGGAAACCAUCAGACUAGAGUCCGGAAGAGGAGAGUGGAAUUCCUGGUGUAGCGGUGAAAUGCGCAGAUAUCAGGAAGAACACCCGUGGCUAAGGCGGCUCUCUGGACCGAGACUGACGCUGAGGCGCGAAAGCGUGGGGAGCGAACAGG